UAGGGAAUAUUGCACAAUGGGGGAAACCCUGAUGCAGCGACGCCGCGUGAGUGGUGAAGGCCUUCGGGUCGUAAAGCUCUGUCGCAGGGGAAUAACACAAUGAAUGUACCCUGCAAGAAAGGAUCGGCUAACUUCGUGCCAGCAGCCGCGGUAAGACGAGGGAUCCUAGCGUUGUUCGGAAUUAUUGGGCGUAAAGCGGGUGUAGGCGGACUUAUAAGUCAGGUGUGAAAUCCCAGGGCUCAACCCUGGAAGUGCACUUGAUACUGUAAGUCUUGAAUGUGGUAGAGGUUACUGAAAUUGCUGGUGUAGUGGUGAAAUACGUAGAUAUCAGCAGGAACACCAGAGGCGAGGGCGGGUAACUGGGCCAACAUUGACGCUGAGAUCCGAAAGCGUGGGGAUCAAACA
rnacentral:rRNA from 1 species